CCUACGGGAGGCUGCAGUGGGGAAUCUUGCGCAAUGGCCGAAAGGCUGACGCAGCGACGCCGCGUGCGGGAGGACGCUUUUCGGAGUGUAAACCGCUGUCGGGUGGGACGAAGGUCCCGGGGAGGAAAUGCCCUGGGGAUGACGGUACCACCAGAGGAAGCACCGGCUAACUUCGUGCCAGCAGCCGCGGUAAUACGAAGGGUGCGAGCGUUGUUCGGAAUUAUUGGGCGUAAAGCGCACGUAGGCGGUCGGGUAAGUCUGUCUGUGAAAGCCCGGGGCUCAACCCCGUGGAUGGCAGGGGAUACUGUCCGACUGGAGACAAGCAGAGGUUGGUAGAAUUCCGGGUGUAGCGGUGGAAUGCGUAGAGAUCCGGAGGAAUACCAGAGGCGAAGGCGGCCAACUGGGCUUGUUCUGACGCUGAGGUGCGAAAGCGUGGGGAG
rnacentral:rRNA from 1 species